rnacentral:rRNA from 1 species
UACGUAGGGGGCAAGCGUUGUCCGGAUUUACUGGGCGUAAAGAGCGCGUAGGCGGAAGGUGAAGCGUGGCCUGAAAGCCCCCGGCUCAACCGGGGAAGGCGGCUGCGAACUGGCCUUCUUGAGGGCGAUAGAGGGGGGCGGAAUUCCUGGUGUAGCGGUGAAAUGCGCAGAUAUCAGGAGGAACACCGGUGGCGAAGGCGGAUCUCUGGGCCAUUACUGACGCUGAGGAGCGAAAGCGUGGGGAGCGAACAGG